UACGUAGGGGGCGAGCGUUGUCCGGAUUCAUUGGGCGUAAAGCGCGCGUAGGCGGCUUCGUAAGUCGGCCGUGAAAUCUCCAGGCUUAACCUGGAGGGGUCGGGCGAGACUGCGGGGCUCGAGGUGGGCAGAGGGCAGUGGAAUUCCGGGUGUAGUGGUGGAAUGCGUAGAGAUCCGGAGGAACACCAGUGGCGAAGGCGGCUGCCUGGGCCUGGCCUGACGCUGAGGCGCGAAAGCGUGGGGAGCGAUCCGG
rnacentral:rRNA from 1 species